ensembl:lncRNA
CUGGAAAGUUAGUUUGUCAGUCCUCAGCGCCACCCACUGGCAUCACUAAGCAAUUGCCUGGUUCAGAAAGAAGUCUCUUCUCUUCUGAACACCUGUGUAUCAUAAUGAAUCUGCAUCAGGUGCAAGUAAUCUGUCUGUUUCCUGUCAGUUGCUUUGGAUGCGAGACCUUUGAUUGGCUGUCAAGAGAAGAUAAAUUGGGUGCCUUGACUCCACCUGCCACUGUGCUACAGAAGGAGGAAAGCAGAGUGGUGGUUGUUUUGUGUUGGGUUAACAGACACUAGAUUUGGGGCUUCUCAAGCUUACACCUGAUAUUAUUUCUGCUUAAAGCGAUGAGCUUUAUAUUUUGGUAAUCUCAAAUCAUUCUUUUCUUGAGAUUUAUGACUUCCUUUGAUGUAAUCACAAUAGUUUAUUCAAAUAUGAUUUUGUUUUUUAGUGUGUUGCUGCCAUGGGUACUUCUUGUUGGGGAGCUUCAAGCAAGUAUGAAACCUUCCCAUCUUGGCUUUGGAAAUGUUGAUGCCAGUAAGCAGGUCUCAGGUGACCAGCUUCAUCAGUUGCCACACUGGUUCAACCCUUUGCACCAGGACCAGGCCCAGCCUCAGCCUCGGAGCUCUCUUGCUCCUAGCUCUCAGCCCAAGGUCCAACCCCAGUCUCGCAGCUACCUCCCCCGGCCACUGCUGCAAGCUUAUGGUUCUCAGCCACAAGUCCAGCCCCUGUCACAGCCCCUGGUGCAUGCUCGCAGCUAUCAAGCUCAGCCACAGGCUCAUAGUUACUGGGCUGAGGCCCACCCCCAGCUGCAGCCUCGCAGUCAAGGCCAUCCUGGGAUCCAGGGUGCCCCCCAGGCCCAUCCCCAGGUCCGUCCCCACACCCAGCCUCGGAGCUUUCUGAUUCGUCCCCAAACCCAACCACAGCCUCGUAGGAUUCAGGGCCACCCCAAGACCCAGAUGCAGUCCCAGCCUCAGCCUCGUACUUUUCAGGGCCAACCCCAGGCACAGACCGAGCUGCAGCCUCGCAGCUUUCAGGGUCCUCCUCAGGUCCGUCCCCAGACCCAGCCUCGUAGCCAUCAAGGCCAUCCCAAGACCCAGCUGCAGAGCCAGACCCAGCCACAGCCCAGGAGCUUUCAGGGCCAUCACCAAUUCCAGCCUGAGGGUCAUCCCCAGAAUCAGUUGCAGCCUCGCAGCUUUCAUGGCUAUUCCCACCAGCCGCAGCCUCGCAUCUAUCGUGGCUAUCCCCAGGCUCAGCUGAAGUCCCAGCUGCAGUCACAGCCUCAGUCUCGCAGCUUUCAGGGCAAUGCCCAUCCCAAUCCCCAGGUCCAGAUCCAGCCUCAUAGCCAUCAAGGCCAUCCCAAGACCCAGCUGCAGAGCCAGACCCAGCCACAGCUUCGCAGCCAUCAGGGCCAUGCCCAGGUACCGACCCAGCCACAGCCUCGCAGCUUUCAGGGCCAUGCCCAGGUCCGUCCCCAGACCCAGCCUCGUAGCCAUCAAGGCCAUCCCGAGACCCAGCUGCAAAGCCAGACCCAGCCACAGCCCCGCAGCUUUCAGGGCCAGGGCCAUGGCCAUCCCAAGGCCCAGACCCAGCUGCAGUCUCACAGUUCUCAGCCUGAAAGCAAUCAGGCUGAUUCACUGGCACAACCUCGUAGUUCUCUGGCCCAGCCCCAAGACCAGCUGCAUGCUAGCACUUCUCAGUCCCGGGCCCACCUAAAGCCUCGCAGUCAUCAUGCUCAGUCCAAGACACAGCCUCAUAGUUAUUCAGCAUAUCCACGGGCCCAUUCUUACUAUCAGGCUCAAAUCCCAAUACAGGUACGCAGCUAUCCAAUGCAUCCUCAGAUGAUGCGUUACCAGCGCAGACCUCAUCUUCAGCCUUGGGUCAGGGCAACUGCCACAAACCACCAGAUUCUGCAAGGGGCUUAAACGAAGAGGGCCAACAUCAGAAGAUGGAUCAUUAACUGCAUGGAUACAAUUAAACUGAUCUUUAGGGGAAAUGUAAAUAAAUCUGUCUAGACGAGUCUGUGUGUGGGCUAGCUUAUUUAUAUUUUAUACUAAUAUCUCAGUUGUGACAGCAGGUGGUGCAUAUUUCAAAUUUUGAGCUCAAACUGAAGCCAUUCAUGUGCAGCAUCUACAGCAGGCAAAGAAGAUUGGCUCUGACAGCACGAGUGAUGCAUAAUGACCUGCUCUUCAGUCUGCAGGUGACCCAGUUCAACUGGAACAAGCUGCUUUUUUUUUUUUUUUAAAAAAAAAAAAAAAAAAAAACCCAGGCAAAGAAACAGAACUGCACAUCAAUACUGGGAUUAUGACGCUACUGUGGAAAACUUAAACAAAAUGGAGACUUUUAGAUUGGUUCUGCAUAUAGAGCCAAAAGUCUAUAUUUUUCAGCAUGUAAGUGAAAUCUUGAUUACUUUUUUGCGUACCUUUUAUUUCCAGACUGCUGUUAACUUAAAAGAGAAAAUCCAACUGAUUCAGAGCACUAUUCAGUCUGGUUACUAGAUAAAGUCAGAUUUUCUUUAAUGUGCACCAGAGACAAAUGAGUCUCAGGUGCACAUCUAAAUUCACUGGGUAACUGCAAGAAAAAAAAACAGGCCUUCGUGGAAAACUGCUGCAUGCAGUGCACUUGCAAUGCUUAACUCCAUGUUCCUGUUCAGCAAAGCGACCAAAGUCGUCUCUUUAUCAGUUAAGUAUCCUCCAGGAGGUGUUAAUAUAACGUAGGUGGUAGAAAUAAUAAGCUACAAAAAUGUACAUGUCUCUGAUAAUUCCCUCGACGGAUGAAAUGCUGUUUGUCCAAAUCCUGGUUUUGGUGGAUCUUGUUAAAUUGGUUUGAGAUGUGGAGGCUGCAGGCAUAUGACUAAUUCCAUUUUGUUUGGUGAUCCCUCCAAGUCCUUAGCAGAAGCAUUCCAUGUUUUUGAACUCAUUUAUUCACAGCACAUUUAAUCUAACAACUGUUUCCUAUCCAGCAUACAUUGUUCCUACAUGUCCAUGCUUAUGUUCUGCCUAUAGGUGGCACCAUCUGACAUGAAACUUGACUGUCGUGGACAUGUUGGGACUAAAAGACAAAUACUGCAGGGACUAGAAUAUUUUAAUACUUGUUUUAAACUAUAAAGAAACCAGUUUUCCCUAAAUGGCAAAAUAGAUUCUUUAAGGAACUGUUUUCUAGAAAGUUGCUUUUACUGAGAUGACUUUACACUGUUUCAAAAGUAUAACUUGUACUAUAAUGGUAUAUUAGUAUGAGUUACAAUUCUUCUAUAUCUCAUAUGUAAAAUG